UGUGACAAAUCACCAAUAAAGGCUUCUAAACCAAAUCUUACACAACCGGACAUGUCCCAGCAGUAAAGUGACCGGAAUUUGGGGAGAAAUGACCAGCAUUGACCAGCCAAGAUUAAAGCUAUGUUGCGUUAGCAU